GACGAACGCUGGCGGCGUGCUUAACACAUGCAAGUCGAACGGAAAGGCCCUGCUUUUGUGGGGUGCUCGAGUGGCGAAAGGGUGAGUAACACGUGAGUAACCUGCCCUUGACUUUGGGAUAACUUCAGGAAACUGGGGCUAAUACCGGAUAGGAGCUCCUGCUGCAUGGUGGGGGUUGGAAAGUUUCGGCGGUUGGGGAUGGACUCGCGGCGUAUCAGCUUGUUGGUGGGGUAGUGGCUUACCAAGGCUUUGACGGGUAGCCGGCCUGAGAGGGUGACCGGCCACAUUGGGACUGCGAUACGGCCCAGACUCCUACGGGAGGCAGCAGUGGGGAAUAUUGCACAAUGGGCGGAAGCCUGAUGCAGCAACGCCGCGUGCGGGAUGACGGCCUUCGGGUUGUAAACCGCUUUCGCCUGUGACGAAGCGUGAGUGACGGUAAUGGGUAAAGAAGCACCGGCUAACUACGUG
rnacentral:rRNA from 1 species